ACACAGAUAGGGUGAUCUUACACACGCAGCCAAGGUCAUGAUCACACACAAGAGACAGGCUGAUCGCACACACGGCAAUCACACACACACAGCGAUCACACACACACAGAGCGAUCUCUCUCUUACAGGGUGAUCACACACACACACGAUCGUACACACCUCUCCAGGGACAGGGAGAACGCCAGGCUCCGCUCCGCGCGGAAUCUGAGCACAGCAGCAGCAAACCCAUCCUGGGUCUGGGCCUUUCUUCUCUCUCUUUUUCCAUUUAGUCAAACAACACCUCCCCAAGCCCUGAAAAAAUGCCUGCCUGUGAAGCGAGGAGAGGGCGCCGGGUCUGUAAAUAAGAAUUUCUGCACCUGAGGCAAGUGCCUCACUCCCCUCGCCCGGGCACUGCCCUGAGGUGAAGUAGGGUGAAGAGCUGGCAGAGCUUUCUGAGCAACUUGUAUUGUGGGGAUGUUCCCCCCCCCCUUGAACUAGGCAUUAGAGGAAGGAAAGAAAGGCGUAAGGAAAGGAACAGGCGCAGCUUCUCGCCUGUCUAGCCAAGACCAGCGGGCUUUGUAGGCACCAUGCCAGGCAGCUGAUCUCUAGGCAAGAGUCCCACUGAGGAAAUGGAGGAAAAAAACCUUCUUCGCUGCCAGUCUGAUCAAAAAUCUCAAGAAAUCCA